UAGUCCAUGCCGUAAACGGUGGGCACUAGGUGUGGGAACUUUCAACGGUUUCCGUGCCGUAGCUAACGCAUUAAGUGCCCCGCCUGGGGAGUACGGUCGCAAGACUAAAACUCAAAGGAAUUGACGGGGGCCCGCACAAGCGGCGGAGCAUGUUGCUUAAUUCGAGGCAACGCGAGGAACCUUACCUAGGCUCGAACGCUAUUUGCCUACUUCUGAAAGGAAGUUUCUCUUCGGAGCGGAUAGUGAGGUGCUGCAUGGUUGUCGUCAGCUCGUGCCGUGAGGUGUUGGGUUAAGUCCCGCAACGAGCGCAACCCUUAUCCUUAGUUGCCAGCACGUAAUGAUGGGGACUCUAGGGAGACUGCCGGCGCAAGCCGUGAGGAAGGUGGGGACGACGUCAAAUCAUCAUGGCCUUUAUGCCUAGGGCUACACACGUGCUACAAUGGUGACUACAACGGGUUGCGAAAUUGUGAAAUGGAGCUAAUCUCAAAAAGUCAUCCCAGUUCGGAUUGAAGUCUGAACU
rnacentral:rRNA from 1 species